AACAAAUAUAGAUUAUAAGUUUUUAUAUUUUUGUGAGUAGUUUUUUGCAUUAUUGUGGAAGGAACCACUGUGAAAUGGAUCUAUUUAUGUAUCAGAGUUUAUACUGCUAGCUCUGGCAGUUUUCACGGAAAUAAAUAAUUGACGAUCUGAUAUGAGGGAAUCAUCGCAAGAGAUCUUUCCCGGACGGCUGGUACAGUAACAGUGACGGCAGGCGGUGUCAACGAGACUCAUGUUACCUUACACUUCACGAGUGAGAGGGGGAAAGGCAUCAACUACCUAGUAUUAAUAUUUAGUAAAAAUAAGUGAUAAGUAUAUACAAGCUUGUG